rnacentral:lncRNA from 1 species
AUCCUGUGUGCUCUGUCAACAUAUUUUUAUCUUGCCUAGCUUUGCAACAUCUGCACAUUGGACUAUCAUUCCAAUGAUGCUUUUAUUUGAGUCCUUGAUAAAGUUUUUGAACAUGCCAAAGGGUGAGAGGGUAGAAUAUGCCAUUUAUAAAUUCAAGUGAUAAAACUGCUUCACAAGUCAAUAUUUUGCCAUGAUGUUCAGAAAUAACAGAAGAAUCUUUUUUUCAAACAGCAUGUUGAAAUCUGGACAAACUAUGGCAUCGCCCAGGGACACUUUCCAAACGAAAGAAUGUGCUUCAUUUGACAAAAGCUGUUUUUGGACCCAGCACAGAGCCUGGCACACAGUAGCAGAUCAGCCAUACAGGAGUGGGAGUAGCAGCUAACAAUGACUGAGCACCUGACAGGCUCCAGGCUGAGUGCUCGGAAUAGACAGAAUCUUAUUGACACCCUUCAACAAUCCUAUGAAGCAGGCCCUGUUCUGAUCUCAUUACCUCUGCCCUUCCUGGUUCCUACUCCAUGAAAGAGCAUCGGAAGAUACCAACGUCAGAAAUGGCAAGUCCAGACACAGACCAAGUUCCGGGAUGCUUCUCCUGCUGCUCCUGUCAGCAUCUCCGCCACAGCCUCUUCCUGCUGCCCCAGGGACACGCCUGACUUUGAUGGACUGAAAGUAAUGCCCCAGCUUUACUGUGCCCUGGGCUGGGACUGCCACAGGGGCAAUGAGGUUUUCCUCCUGUGGUCGCCUUCCUGUUUACCUGACUGACUCAUGGGAGGUGACAGGCCAGCCUGGGGCUGGGAGUGGGGGCUGCCCCAGAUCUUACAGAAUGCCACGAGAGAGGAGCCUGCUCCUAAAUGGACUUAACUGGUCUGUUUUUUCAGAGCUCAGCAAUGUGGCCUGAUAAAGGACACAGUGAGGCCCCCAACAGGGCAGAAAGGAAAGGCAGGGAGAGAACCGUUUUUUGCCUAGAGCUCCAUCAUAUCGUAGAGAAAGAGUGCAUUCUCCUAGGGGAAUGCAAGGCACGCUCUGUCCUUGAGUUGCUAUUUCCCCAGAGAACAGGGGUGAGGCCAGACAAGCCAUGGAGGGUGGAGUGCCAGUUGUGUCAUCACAGGCUUGCAGCUCCCUGACCACGGCACCCACACCCACUUUCGGGAGCCCACGGCUGGGUGGCUGAAAGGGGAAUCCCUAGUGGGACCUUGCCUUGUCUUAGGCAAACUCAGGAAGGACACCUGGUGAGUGCGGGCCAUGUGUUCAGGGCGGAGCCAAGAAGGCAGAGAACAAUGUUUUUACUCAUGGGAUGAGCCCUCCCCCUUCUCCAUCCUCCCUGUUGUCCCCUCCAAACAGCCUCAUCUCAUUAAGCAAAGACCCCAGACUUUUCACUGAAGGGGGAAAGCUGGCUAUAGUCCCAAAGUGUGGCAACAUCUACCUUGCGGGCAGGAGUGGAGAAGGUAGGGAGCUUCCUGAGAACGCAGAAGCCCUCAGGCUCCAGCCCAGAAGCUGUGCCUGAGAUGCUCAAAGACGUGGAUCCCCCUUCAAUUCUUGGACGUGGCUUUGCUGGACUGGUUUGGGGCACUGGCCACACCACGCCUCUGCUUCAAGCACAGGGACUGGGUUUGGGGGUGCUGUGCCCGCUCUGACAGCAUUUCUGCCUCCAGCUCUCUCUCUGGCUUUGUGCUUGAUGCUCCUUUCUUGGUGUGAACUGGGUCCAGGAGAGAAGCCAAGGCCCUGCUAUCCAUGACCUCCUCACUCCCUGGUGGUUCCACACAUUCUGGAAAGUUCUAUUGGGGACUGACCAGGAGCAUCAACAAGAUGGACCACUGAUGUGAUUGGCCUGCCCCACCCAUGGGCCACUUCCAUCCUACCCAGAACAUCUCAGCACUGACUUGACUUUAAGAAAGCUCUGAUAACACGCUAAUGACCUUUCACUUAAUCAUCUAAUCCAUGCUCAGAGCCCAGAUCAAUUCCCACCUAUUUGAUGAUACCUUCCCUGUCAACUGCAACUUGCCACCGUCUUCUCCCUCCCCCUUACACAUUCACAGUAUCUAACAACCACCUCGCCUCUGGCUUCCUUCAUCACUUCCUGUGCAGCUCCAUUUGCCAUGCCUUCACAAGACCCUGCAAUAGGGGCUGGGGGGCAGAUGUAACAUGGUACUCCCAUCCCUCAGAGUUGCUUCCAAGGCAGUCGAGAAGAUGUAUAUGCAGAAACAAGCAUCUCACAUGGUUCCAUGAGAGAGAUCCAGAGAAAGCGUUAUGGGAGUAGAGAAGGAAAACACUGCAUUGACCCGAGGGGAGGCAACAGAGGGGACCUCACAGGACGCCUCUGGAAAAUGAUCUUCUGAAACACACAGGAUUUGGAUGUCAGGGCUCAGUUUAGGAAAAGACUUUCUGGUGGAAGAACAGAGUGCACAAAGACAUGGAGACAGGAAAUGGUGGAUGGCUAUGGGGGGAACCACCAGGACGGGUCCCAACCACCAACUAGCUCCUUCAAGCUGGCCUUGUCGGCACCUGGGCUUCCCUCCCGCCAGCUUUACUGUUUGGCAGCUUUCUGUCCAGGGCCAACUGUGGGCCGUGACUUAGGGAGGCUGCGGCCAACUGUGGGCCGUGACUUAGGGAGGCUGCACUUCUUGGGGAAUAAGUAGAAGCAACAAUUUGGGCACCUGUUGUUAAAACCCAAAGUCAGCCACCCGGCUCAGAUUUCCCACCCACGGGUAGCUGACUUGUAACCCCAGUCGACACCAGGAUGCCCUCCCUGGGCCUCCACUUCAUGAGGUGGUCCUGAAAAUACUGCCUGCCUGAGAGGUGAUGGAGCUGCCCACGAAGCACUCCUCAGCUGCCCCAUUUGCUUGUGCAGACUCCCCAGAGAGCCCUGCAGUUGGGUAAAGCUCAGCAUGUGGGGGUGGGUUGGGUCCGGGCUGUGCCUUGGGAGCAUGGAGGCUGUGUCCCAAAGGCAUUGCUUGUCUUUGCGACCCAACAGCCCUCUCCUGCCUGGAGACUGCCUGCUCAGCCUUCCCAGCUGAAGUUGUGUGCCAGGGGCUGGGGGCCCGGCCGUGCUAGGUUUUCCCAAUGGAUAAAGUCAACUUUGUAACCGAAGGGCUGACCUAGGAAUCUAAUCAUGCAAAUAAGAAUUUGGAUCGUCUACAUCAGAAUCACCUGGGAACUCCAAGGAACCUUCCAGGAGAUUCUGAAUCAGUGGCUCCAGGCGAGCCCUGCAAAUCUUUCUUUUUUUU